rnacentral:rRNA from 1 species
GUGGGGAAUAUUGGUCAAUGGGGGAAACCCUGAACCAGCAACGCCGCGUGAAGGAAGAAGGCUUUCGGGUUGUAAACUUCUUUUAUGUGGGACGAAAAAAAUGACGGUACCACAUGAAUAAGCCACGGCUAACUACGUGCCAGCAGCCGCGGUAAUACGUAGGUGGCAAGCGUUGUCCGGAUUUACUGGGUGUAAAGGGCGCGUAGGCGGAUGUGCAAGUCAGAUGUGAAAUACCAGGGCUCAACCCUGGGGCUGCAUUUGAAACUGUGCAUCUUGAGUGAUGGAGAGGCAAGCGGAAUUCCUAGUGUAGCGGUGAAAUGCGUAGAUAUUAGGAGGAACACCAGUGGCGAAGGCGGCUUGCUGGACAUUAACUGACGCUGAGGCGCGAAAGCGUGGGGAGCAAACAGGAUUAGAUACCCCGGUAGUCC